CUACGGGGGGCUCCAGUGGGGAAUAUUGCACAAUGGAGGAAACUCUGAUGCAGCAACGCCGCGUGGAGGAUGACACUUUUCGGAGCGUAAACUCCUUUUAUAUAGGAAGAAGAUGACGGUACUAUAUGAAUAAGCGCCGGCUAACUCCGUGCCAGCAGGCCGCGGUAAUACGGAGGGCACAAGCGUUACUCGGAAUCACUGGGCGUAAAGAGCGUGUAGGCGGAUUAAAAAGUCAGAAGUGAAAUCCUAUAGCUUAACUAUAGAACUGCUUCUGAAACUCUUAAUCUAGAAUAUGGGAGAGGUAGAUGGAAUUUCUGGUGUAGGGGUAAAAUCCGUAGAGAUCAGAAGGAAUACCGAUUGCGAAGGCGAUCUACUAGAACAUUAUUGACGCUGAGACGCGAAAGCGUGGGGAGCAAACAGGAUUAGAUACCCUUGUAGUC
rnacentral:rRNA from 1 species